CACGUAGGGGGCGAGCGUUGUCCGGAUUUAUUGGGCGUAAAGAGCUCGUAGGCGGCUCGGUAAGUCGGGUGUGAAAUUUCGAGGCUCAACCUCGAAACGCCACCCGAUACUGCUGUGGCUAGAGUCCGGUAGGGGAGCGUGGAAUUCCUGGUGUAGCGGUGAAAUGCGCAGAUAUCAGGAGGAACACCAGCGGCGAAGGCGGCGCUCUGGGCCUGUCCUGACGCUCAGGCGCGAAAGCUAGGGGAGCAAACAGG
rnacentral:rRNA from 1 species